GAACAGGGAUACACAAUGGAGAUCUACUCAUCAACUGCAUGUAUGACAACACAUUUUUGAAGUUCUAAGUUACCUAGUAUUUUGUGGAUUUGUUUAAUUUGUUCAUUUAUUUAUGUAUUUAUUUUUAUUUUAACAUUGUAUUUUUUAUUGCAGGUGUAGUGACAAUCUUGUACAUUUUUGCUACAGCCUCUGCGCAAGGUAUUUGCCAUCAUGACAGAGGGAGCCAGUGAGUGACCUCACACAGAGCGCUAACGCUGAGCCUCUGAGCACCGUUUCAUAAGAGAUUUUUUAUUUAUUUAUUACAUAUAUAUUUUAUCAUAGAACACUUAAAUGUAAAUUAAAAGAAUGAUUUGGUAAGAGUAAAAUGGGAGUAAUCUGUCUUGUUUAUAAUGUCAGCAGCAAUGCAGGUUUCAGUGGACAGAUGGAAGGCAGCCAUCAUCUGCACUGUUGUGGAAAUGUAUCUUACAAGAUCUCAGAAAGUUCCUGCUGUAAUGGAAAUGUAACUCUGGGAUUAAGCCAGCUGGUGGCUGACUGUUGUGAUUCUGUAGCUUACAAUCCCCUUAACGAGAUUUGCUGUGAUGGAAGGAUUCGGACUCGAAGCAGCACUCACAUGAAAUGCUGUGGCAAAGUCAUGUACCGGACAACGACUCAUUUGUGUUGUGGUGGCGGCAACAUAUUUCAAUGGAAGGAAAAUCAUUCUUGUUGUGGCAAAGAAACGUAUGACAUGACAACCCACUGCUGCUGUACUAACCUUACACUAGAAGUAAAGCCGAAAAAUGAAACUUGCUGUCCAAAAGCAAAAGACACUGAUGAAAGAACAGAAUGCCAGCAAGGCUCUCUUCCCACCCGAAAACUCUCCAAAAACUCAGAAUCGAAGUGUGGAUCAACACCCUACAAUCCCCAGAAACAAAUUUGUUGCUCAGUGAAUAUUCAUGAGAAGGCUUCAGCACUUACUAAGUGCUGUGGCAAAGAUGUUUACACUCUGUCAGAUGACAAUGUGCUGUGCUGUAAUGGAAUCCUUCAUCUCAAUGUGCCUGAGCAGUCAGAGUGUGUUGGAGGUGUUAUAUAUACUCCAUCAAACACUAUUUGCCAAAUGUCUGCUCGUCCCCGUCUUGGUAGGCACUGCUGUGGAAGACAAACCUUCAAUCCUCACACACAUAUUUGCUGUAACGGAUGCAGGUAGGCCUACAGAUUACAAAAAUUUGAUAUGAUUUAAAAGCAACUUUUAUGCCAGAUUUAC
rnacentral:lncRNA from 1 species